ACUCCAAUGGUCUAGUGGUUAGAGCGUCCACUUCGGAUGCGGGAGAUUGUGGGUUCGAUCCCCAGUCGAGUC